CAACAAAUGUCUGAACUUUUGAAUCUGCCAAUCAGAACGCAAUAUCUGUCUCCAAUUUCAGAGUCAUCUUUUCUUCCUCUCUCUCUCUCACUGAUCCUCUUUUUCUUAUUCUUCCUUCUUCUUUGCAGUCUUCCUCUUUUUCUUCUUCUCACUCUUCGUCUUCUUCGGUCUUCCUCUGAUCUGUCUUUGAACCAAAUACAAACAAGCUAUUAUUUGCGACAUCCAUUUACAAAUCAUAAUGAUACUUGCAAGGAUCUUCCAACAAUAAAUCCAAAUUUGAUGUCAACAAUAUCGGCAGCGAAGCUCUAGCCGAAGCCGAAAAAGAAAUCAAACUCAUCUUAAACAUGUUGUUUAGUAUAUGGUUUUAGAUCUUGAAGGCAAAACCUCUUAUCUUCCUAACUUCCUCUGUUGAAUCGCUUCAUGCGGCGUUGGGUAACUACCCCAGUUGUUAAGUAGCAAAAGACUUGAGGUUCUACAUGGUUUGGUGGAAUCGGAUGCAGCAACUGAUGUCAUAUAUGGAAAAGCUGUUAUGUUUGCAAUUGAUCCAAUUAUGCAAGAUUGUUGCUUUUUCUUUUGCUUCUGUUUAUAUAUCAUUUUGUUAUACAUAACAAACAAAUAGUGUAUUUCCCAAAUAUAUGGGAGCUGUUCAGGAAUUUCAGACAUUUUUUCAAGCAUGUUGGCCCUUUUGAAUUUGUGUUUAAGACAAGUUAUCUUUAUUUCAAUUUCACCAAUCUCAACAGAGGAUCGUCCGAGAUGUGAAAUUUAGAGACUAUUAUAGGAAGAUCCUGGGAAUGACAAUUUCAGGGAUGGUUGAUGGCUUUGUCGUCUCCCUAAGGUCCCUUGUCGUCCAAAACUCCAGAAACAUUGCACCAUUAUUGCAUGCUCGACAUCUUCAUUCUCAGAGAAUGCUCAAGGUAAUUUCAGACCAGGUUAGGAUUUCAACUACGGAAAAUGGCACUGCAGUUCUCACUGCGAAGGUAUUUUGAUCGUCCACUUUGACUAUUUUUCGAGUUAAAUUCUUGUGGCAACUACCUUACAUUUAUGCCUGGCAUUUAGUAUGUCGAAACUCAAGUGCUGUCUGCAAUAUGGUCAAUUUGAACAUGUCCAUAUGUUCAAAAUCAGUAAAAUGCUGCUGUGACGUUUCGACUUUAUGUCCAUAUUUCAGAAUUUCAUCAUGAGUGUUUGAUGAAAUAACCGUAAAAGGAAAUAGGAGUUAGAAUUGGUCAGGAAAUUCUGUGUGGAAAAUUUAAUUGACUGGCUUUUCUUUUUGUACUGAAUUCCUCCACAAUGGGAUCAUAUGCGUGCUGAACUCUAAUUGAAUGGUUGUAUGUUGUUAUCUGCUUUUGGGCUGAUUCAGUCUUGAAACGUAUAGUGCGCAUAUGUAUGUUGUAGGGGCUGCAAUAGAAAUGCAUAUGAACGUGUGGAUUCGAAGGACUUUCAGUUUGUGCCGAUUCGAAUAUGUCAUGGGCUGGCCAUUUGGUAAGUGUAGACAUGUAUGUGUGGCUAUGUAUUUGUAUGAACUUUGGUAGAGCUGCUGUAUGUAUUCUUUUUUUUUUACAGUAUCAGAUAUUUUUGAAUAUGGUAGUGUGUAUGUAUGUAUGGUACGGUUUUGAUGUCUAAGUCAUGGAAUGAACUUGUAUGAUUUCUGCAUAAUGUGUUGUUCUAAACUGUAUGACCUGAAUGUAGGUUCUGAAGUGGUUUUUCUUGGAUUGAACAUGACGAUGAUAAGUGUGAGCAAGGCUAUAUGUAGCUAUAUUGUUUAGACCCUUUUUUAGAAUUAAACUUGUGGAUUUUAAUUGAUGACCUUUAUGUCCAUCCUGCAUGAUGAUGUCUAUAUUACCUUGAGUGUGACUUGUACAAAAAUGAGCUUGUACUGAUGCAAAUUCUAGAUUGCCUUUAGAUUGUUUAAGGUAGUGCACUAUACUUAGCUGAAUGUGUGAAGUGACGCAUAGCUAAUUGUGACGUGCUACCACCGCUGAUGUAUUUCCUGAAGGUUUGCUUAGUCUAUUGAUGUUAAGGAUGCAUAUGUAACCGUCUUGAAGAGGUGCGGCGGAUGCUACGCACUGGUGGACAUGGGUGUCAAUUGUUACAUUUUUAGCUUUGCUUUUAUCCUAAAUCCACUUUAACAGGUAAUAGUUGGCCUGUCAUAAA